rnacentral:rRNA from 1 species
CCGCUUUCAGCAAGGAAGAAGCGAAAGUGACGGUACUUGCAGAAGAAGCACCGGCUAACUAUGUGCCAGCAGCCGCGGUAAUACAUAGGGUGCAAGCGUUGUCCGGAAUUAUUGGGCGUAAAGAGCUCGUAGGUGGUUCGUCACGUCGGAUGUGAAAAUCUGGGGCUUAACCCCAGACCUGCAUUCGAUACGGGCGAGCUAGAGUGUGGUAGGGGAGACUGGAAUUCCUGGUGUAGCGGUGGAAUGCGCAGAUAUCAGGAGGAACACCAAUGGCGAAGGCAGGUCUCUGGGCCAUUACUGACACUGAGGAGCGAAAGCGUGGGGAGCGAACAGGAUUAGAUACCCUGGUAGUCCACGCCGU